rnacentral:rRNA from 1 species
AUUGAACGCUGGCGGCAUGCUUUACACAUGCAAGUCGAACGGUAACAGGCCGCAAGGUGCUGACGAGUGGCGAACGGGUGAGUAAUGCAUCGGAACGUGCCCAGUCGUGGGGGAUAACGCAGCGAAAGCUGCGCUAAUACCGCAUACGAUCUAUGGAUGAAAGCGGGGGACCGUAAGGCCUCGCGCGAUUGGAGCGGCCGAUGUCAGAUUAGGUAGUUGGUGGGGUAAAGGCUCACCAAGCCAACGAUCUGUAGCUGGUCUGAGAGGACGACCAGCCACACUGGGACGGAGACACGGCCCAGACUCCUACGGGAGGGAGCAGUGGGGAAUUUUGGACAAUGGGCGCAAGCCUGAUCCAGCAAUGCCGCGUGCAGGAAGAAGGCCUUCGGGUUGUAAACUGCUUUUGUACGGAACGAAAAGGCUCUGGUUAAUACCUGGGGCUCAUGACGGUACCGUAAGAAUAAGCACCGGCUAACUACGUGCCAGCAGCCGCGGUAACAC